UACAGAGGGGGCAAGCGUUGUUCGGAAUUACUGGGCGUAAAGGGCGCGUAGGCGGCCUGUUAAGUCGAACGUGAAAUCCCCGGGCUCAACCCGGGAACUGCGUCCGAUACUGGCAGGCUUGAAUCCGGGAGAGGGAUGCGGAAUUCCAGGUGUAGCGGUGAAAUGCGCAGAUAUCAGGAGGAACACCGGUGGCGAAGGCGGGUCUCUGGGCAGUAACUGACGCUGAGGAGCGAAAGCGUGGGGAGCGAAACAGG
rnacentral:rRNA from 1 species